AACAACUAUUCUUAUUGUAUUCAUUUUAUUAUCCUGUGGCCAUAAAGUGUAAAACUGUACUUUUAAAAGUUAGUAGAAAGGCUUGAUAGUAUUUUAGAUACCAAGAAUAAAGAAUUUUCGGAGUGUU